UUCUUUUUAACACAACAGCCUCCUCACUAACCCUAAUAAAGGUGUUAGCCGGUUACAAACUGCUAAAAUGUACGGUGAGGGUUGGCACAGUUAAAUCAUCAGAUUCAUCACCACCGGAUUCACUAAUCUUGUAGCAAAAACUCAAUAGAUUUACCAUACUUCCGCUGAAUAUUGAGUUAGUCUCAGUUAUUGAUAUUUAAGUAUAAAUUUGUAAUAUUAUCCUCAUGUGUUUAAUUGCAACCGGACAAUCAAAUUAAAAGAGAUCGGGCAGUUCCCAUACUAUCCCCAUUAUUUUUCAGCUAAAAUAGAGAUUUCUCUCCUUAAAGAGCCAGUAUGUGUGUGU
rnacentral:lncRNA from 1 species